CCUACGGGAGGCUGCAGUGGGGAAUAUUGCACAAUGGGAGCAAGCCUGAUGCAGUCAUGCCGCGUGUGUGAAGAAGGCCUUCGGGUUGUAAAGCACUUUCAGCGAGGAGGAAGGGUGGUGUGUUAAUAGCACAUCACAUUGACGUUACUCGCAGAAGAAGCACCGGCUAACUCCGUGCCGGCAGCCGCGGUAAUACGGAGGGUGCAAGCGUUAAUCGGAAUUACUGGGCGUAAAGCGCACGCAGGCGGUUUGUUAAGUCAGAUGUGAAAUCCCCGCGCUUAACGUGGGAACUGCAUUUGAAACUGGCAAGCUAGAGUCUUGUAGAGGGGGGUAGAAUUCCAGGUGUAGCGGUGAAAUGCGUAGAGAUCUGGAGGAAUACCGGUGGCGAAGGCGGCCCCCUGGACAAAGACUGACGCUCAGGUGCGAAAGCGUGGGGAGCA
rnacentral:rRNA from 1 species